AGAGUUUGAUCCUGGCUCAGAACGAACGCUGGCGGCAUGCCUAAUACAUGCAAGUCGAACGAGACCUUCGGGUCUAGUGGCGCACGGGUGCGUAACGCGUGGGAAUCUGCCCUCUGGUUCGGAAUAACUCAGGGAAACUUGAGCUAAUACCGGAUAAUGUCUUCGGACCAAAGAUUUAUCGCCUGAGGAUGAGCCCGCGUCGGAUUAGCUAGUUGGUGGGGUAAAAGCCUACCAAGGCGACGAUCCGUAGCUGGUCUGAGAGGAUGAUCAGCCACACUGGGACUGAGACACGGCCCAGACUCCUACGGGAGGCAGCAGUAGGGAAUAUUGGACAAUGGGCGAAAGCCUGAUCCAGCAAUGCCGCGUGAGUGAUGAAGGCCUUAGGGUUGUAAAGCUCUUUUACCCGGGAUGAUAAUGACAGUACCGGGAGAAUAAGCCCCGGCUAACUCCGUGCCAGCCGCCGCGGUAAUAC
rnacentral:rRNA from 1 species